rnacentral:rRNA from 1 species
GUCCACGCCCUAAACCAUGUCAACUGGGUGUUCGGGAAGCGAUUCAUGAGUACCGUAGCUAACGCGUGAAGUUGACCUCCUGGGGAGUACGGCCGCAAGGUUAAAACUCAAAGGAAUUGACGGGGACCCGCACAAGCGGUGGAUGAUGUGGAUUAAUUCGAUGCAACGCGAACAACCUUACCUACCCUUGACAUGUCUGGAAGCCCGGUGAGAGCUGGGUGUGCCCGAAAGGGAACCGGAACACAGGUGCUGCAUGGCUGUCGU